UACGUAGGGUGCAAGCGUUGUCCGGAAGAUUAUUGGGCGUAAAGAGCUCGUAGGCGGUCUGUCGCGUCGGCUGUGAAAACCCGGAGCUCAACUCCGGGCCUGCAGUCGAUACGGGCAGACUGGAGUUCGGCAGGGGAGACUGGAAUUCCUGGUGUAGCGGUGAAAUGCGCAGAUAUCAGGAGGAACACCGGUGGCGAAGGCGGGUCUCUGGGCCGAUACUGACGCUGAGGAGCGAAAGCGUGGGGAGCGAACAGG
rnacentral:rRNA from 1 species